rnacentral:rRNA from 1 species
GCAUAUCAAUAAGCGGAGGAAAAGAAACUAACAAGGAUUCCCUUAGUAACGGCGAGUGAAGAGGGAAGAGCUCAAAUUUUAAAUCUAUCAUGUUGUACAUGAUCGAGUUGUAAUUUGAAGAAGCGUUUUCUCGUACUUUAUGAUCAGUAUAAGUUCUCUUGGAACAGGACAUCAUAGAGGGUGAUAAUCCCGUCUGUUACUGAUUGUGGGGUUCGUUUAUGAUACGCUUUCAAAGAGUCGAGUUGUUUGGGAUUGCAGCUCCAAAUGGGUGGUAAACAUCACCUAAGGCUAAAUAUUUGCGAGAGACCGAUAGCGAACAAGUACCGUGAGGGAAAGAUGAAAAGAACUUUGAAAAGAGAGUUAAAAAGUAUGUGAAAUUGUUGAAAGGGAAACGAUUGAAGUCAGUCGUGCAGUCAUCAAUUCAGCGGUUAACAUUUUAUGUUUCCGUGUAAUUUGGUGUCUGUUGGUUAGCAUCAAUUUUGAUUGUUAUAAAAAGGUUAAGGGGAUGUGGCUCCUUCGGGAGUGUUAUAACCCUUAGCGUAAUGUGACGAUUAGGAUUGAGGUUUGCAACGAAUACCUUUUAGGGCAGUUUCACCUGGCCUCUCGUGGAAUUAUAGAUAGUUAAGAGCAUGCUCUUACUGUCUAUGAUUCUACGAAAAGGUUGGAGUGUAAAACUAAUUCGUUAAGGAUGUUGACGUA